GGGGAUUUAGCUCAGUGGUAGAGUGCUUGCCUAGCAAGCACAAGGCCCUGGGUUCAAUCCCCAGCUCCA
rfam:Rattus norvegicus chromosome 5, whole genome shotgun sequence.